GUGAUUGAUAAACAAAAGAAAUUCAGUUCUUGAUUAAUACAUAUGAUUGUUUGCAUGAUGGCGUUCGAAUCCAUGACUAAUCUAACAAAAUCUAUUGUUUGACAAAAAAAAAAAAUUUAAGGUUUGAAUUUUCAGGGUUGUAUUGUUUUUAAUUUGGAGGGUAUUAGACUAUUAAAGUGUGAUUUUAGUUAUAUUUGAAAGUUUUUAUAAAAACUGACAUUUAUGAAAUUAGAGUCUUAAUUUUGAUUAUUUAUGAUAAAUUCUCGAAUAUAAACUAAGUGGUUGAAGUGAAAAAAUAUAUUGGUUGUGUUGUACGUAUGCCUCAAAGAAAUUUUUUAUAGAGCGACAAUAAAAUCAGUAAUGCUUUACGACAUGGAAUGAUGAGCGGUCAAGUAUCAACCAUGCACAAAAUAAGUGUAACGAAGACGAGGAUUUGAGAGUUGAAUGCAUGGGAACACGAGAAAGAAUGGAUUUCUUUCUGGUAACAUUUAAUGAUUACGAUUCAGUUCACCCGGAAAAAAUGAUUGAAAUCCAAAGGCGCGAGCUUCAGCGGCUGUUGACAGAUUGAAUCCAAUUGAACCAGAUCUCAGCUCCCCAUUCUCUCUCUCUCUCUCUCUCUCUCAUACUAUCUGUGUGUGUAGAGAGAGAGAGAGAGAGAGACGAUCGUUGACCAAUGGCUCGGAUCUUCGAGCACUUCGUGGUGUGCGGGAUCGGACCCAAGAUUCGGACCAUCGACGGCGCCAAAGGAUUACACGGCUUCGGCACGUAUUACCAGACGUCUCUUCUCGAUCAGUACCCUCCGCCCAAUCACAUUCUCUACCCUCCUCCGCCGCCUCAGCUCCCCACCUGUGUGUGGCCGGCUGGUGUUUUUCUAAUCGUCAGGUUUUGAUUCCAAUGACGCCUACACGUUUCCACGGAGCUACCCCAUUGUUCUCACCGAGGGUGAUACGACAAAAAUUUAUGUUAGUUGCAUUGCUUUCCGGGGCACAGUCAGUGAGGAUAUUGCUGAAGCUAACUGUAUACCUGCAAAUUCACCUGCGUAACAUUGAUAUAUUCGAGUGCAAAUAUGAGAUUUGACUACAAUACUUAAUCAAGCAAGAAUUUAUAAUCAAAUCCAAUCAGGGAUCCACAAGAUAAUUCCAAGAUAUUAUUUAUUCAAUAAUAUCAUUGGGAUAAUUCUUUCCUACUCCAUCCAACGGAUGACACACCUUGGCCAACUGGAUGAUGAUACAUAGCGCGAGAUCCCUCUCCUCCAUGGCGAUCCUAGCUCCUAUAAAUACCCCAUUCUCCAUCAAAUUUUAGUAAGCUUUUGCAAUGCAAUUAAGCCCUAAACCUCUCUUUUUUUCAGAGAAACUGACUUAGGCAUUGAAGAUCCAUUGGCCAAACACCCCCCACCCUCACUCUUUGGGGGCAGGGCUUUGUCUUUGAUCACAAGUGUUUAUUUGUUUUGUAGGUAAAAAUUCGUCUAGGCCGAAAACGACAGAUUUUUGCUACCACAAUAUUCUCUUUUACUACCCUUCACUUGUAAGUGAGAGGUUUUAAGUUCGAAUCUUAUGAAUGACAAGUUUGAUAUCGGUUUAUUGUCUCAUCCAUUGGUGUAAACAUAU